rnacentral:rRNA from 1 species
CAAUAGCGUAUAUUAAAGUUGUUGCGGUUAAAAAGCUCGUAGUUGGAUUUCUGCCGAGGACGACCAGUCCGCCCACUGGGUGAGCAUCUGGCUCAGCCUUAGCAUCUUCUUGGAGAACGUAUCUGCACUUCAUUGUGUGGUGCGGUAACCAGGACUUUUACUUUGAGGAAAUUAGAGUGUUUCAAGCAGGCGUGCGCCUUGAAUACAUUAGCAUGGAAUAAUAAGAUAGGACCUUAGUCCUAUUUUGUUGGUUUCUAGAGCUGGGGUAAAGAUUAAUAGGGAUAGUUGGGGGCAUUCGUAUUUAACUGUCAGAGGUGAAGUUCUUGGAUUUGUUAAAGACGGACUACUGCGAAAGCAUUUGCCAAGGAUGUUUUCAUUGA